rnacentral:lncRNA from 1 species
AAAAGUCUAACCGCCCUCUUCACCCUCCAGUGGCCUCCCCUCUCUUUUGCUUCCCCACACACAUUUCGUUUUCAUUCUCCGAUUAUUCACUCGUCCUUCCCUCAUCACUCCUAAUUUCCGAUGACCGGCGGCGAUAACUGUCACCGGACGGAGAACUGAGAUAAAAACAGCUCACACAUAGAUACACCACACUCUCUCUCCUCUCUCCGUUCCAGCAUGUCCGAGAACAACGACGUAACGCUACAGACCUUCCGAGCGCUGGUAGAGAACGCUGACCACAAGUUCGCUAGGGUUCGCGACGUUCCUGCGUACGGUCGCGUGAGCCAGAGCCACUUCUUCCACAAGGUGUUCAAGGCGUACACGCGGCUCUGGAAGUACCAGCAAGAGAACCGGUCGAAGCUGGUUCAGUGCGGCCUCAAGCGCUGGGAAAUCGGCGAGAUCGCGAGCCGAAUUGGCCAGCUCUACUUCAGCCAGUACAUGAGGACCAGCGACAUCAGGUUCCUCGUCGAGGCCUACGUAUUCUACGAGGCCAUACUCAGCAGAAGGUACUUCGAAGGAUCUGAAGGCUCGCCGAGAGAUCUGGGAGUCCGGUCCAAGGAGUUGAGGUUCUACGCACGGUUCUUGCUUGUUUCGAUCAUUCUGAGCCGCUCCAAGAUGGUCAACCACCUCAUGGACCGCUUCGUGGCUCUCGUUGACGAUUGCAGAAGUAACUUCCGGGUAAAUGCACUUCCCCUCUUCUCAAAAUUCCGGCUAAAAAAAUGCUUCGCCUUAUGGAAAGUUGUGUUUUCUAGCUUGAUUUUGGAAUUUGAAUGGUUAAUUGUUGAAGGGAAGUGAACUAGCGUUCAUCCACUAACUCACUUUCUCUCGUUUUUGUUACUGACGUAUUUUAGACUAAAACGAUAGCAAUAAUAAUAAUAAUAAUAAUAAUAAUAAUAAUAAUAAUAAUAAUAAUAUAUUAUGCUAUGUACUUCACAGUCCUUGUGACAACAAAAAAAGUCUAACCGCCCUCUUCACCCUCCAGUGGCCUCCCCUCUCUUUUGCUUCCCCACACACAUUUCGUUUUCAUUCUCCGAUUAUUCACUCGUCCUUCCCUCAUCACUCCUAAUUUCCGAUGACCGGCGGCGAUAACUGUCACCGGACGGAGAACUGAGAUAAAAACAGCUCACACAUAGAUACACCACACUCUCUCUCCUCUCUCCGUUCCAGCAUGUCCGAGAACAACGACGUAACGCUACAGACCUUCCGAGCGCUGGUAGAGAACGCUGACCACAAGUUCGCUAGGGUUCGCGACGUUCCUGCGUACGGUCGCGUGAGCCAGAGCCACUUCUUCCACAAGGUGUUCAAGGCGUACACGCGGCUCUGGAAGUACCAGCAAGAGAACCGGUCGAAGCUGGUUCAGUGCGGCCUCAAGCGCUGGGAAAUCGGCGAGAUCGCGAGCCGAAUUGGCCAGCUCUACUUCAGCCAGUACAUGAGGACCAGCGACAUCAGGUUCCUCGUCGAGGCCUACGUAUUCUACGAGGCCAUACUCAGCAGAAGGUACUUCGAAGGAUCUGAAGGCUCGCCGAGAGAUCUGGGAGUCCGGUCCAAGGAGUUGAGGUUUUACGCGCGGUUCUUGCUUGUUUCGAUCAUUCUGAGCCGCUCCAAGAUGGUCAACCAC